rnacentral:rRNA from 1 species
UACGGGGGGGGCAAGCGUUGUUCGGAAUUACUGGGCGUAAAGGGCGCGUAGGCGGCUCUUCAAGUCAGCCGUGAAAUCUCCAGGCUUAACCUGGAAGGGUCGGUUGAUACUGUCGAGCUAGAGUGCAGAAGGGGCAACUGGAAUUCUCGGUGUAGCGGUGAAAUGCGUAGAUAUCGAGAGGAACACCUGCGGCGAAGGCGGGUUGCUGGGCUGACACUGACGCUGAGGCGCGAAAGCCAGGGGAGCGAACGGG